rnacentral:rRNA from 1 species
AUUGAACGCUGGCGGCAGGCCUAACACAUGCAAGUCGAACGAGUGGCGGACGGGUGGGUAAUUUCUUGGAACCUGCCUGAUGUAGCGGGAUAACUACUGGAACCGUUGGCUAAUACCGCAUACCAUCAGUUGUGCCCAGGUGGGAUUAGCUUGUUGGUGGGGUAACGGCUCACAAAGGCGCCGAUCCCUAGCUGGUCUGAGAGGGUGACCGGCCACACUGGGACUGAGACACGGCCCAGACUCCUACGGGAGGCAGCAGUGGGGAAUCUUGCGCAAUGGGCGAAAGCCUGAUGGAGCAAUGCCGCGUGUGUGAAGAAGGUCUUCGGGUUGUAAAAUACUUUCGGCGGGGAGGCGGUACCUGCAGAAGAAGCAACGGCUAACUCCGUGCCAGCAGCCGCGGUAAUAC